rnacentral:rRNA from 1 species
ACCCGCUGAACUUAAGCAUAUCAAUAAGCGGAGGAAAAGAAACCAACAGGGAUUGCCCUAGUAACGGCGAGUGAAGCGGCAACAGCUCAAAUUUGAAAUCUGGCCUCACGGUCCGAAUUGUAAUUUGUAGAGGAUGUUUCUGGCGACGUGUCUUCCGAGUUCCCUGGAACGGGACGCCAUAGAGGGUGAGAGCCCCGUCCGGUCGUACACCUAGCCUCUGUGAAACUCCUUCGACGAGUCGAGUAGUUUGGGAAUGCUGCUCUAAAUGGGAGGUAUACGUCUUCUAAAGCUAAAUACCGGCCAGAGACCGAUAGCGCACAAGUAGAGUGAUCGAAAGAUGAAAAGCACUUUGAAAAGAGGGUUAAAUAGUACGUGAAAUUGCUGAAAGGGAAGCGCUUAUGACCAGACUUGGGCUCGGUGAAUCAUCCGGCGUUCUCGCCGGUGCACUUUGCCGUUCCAGGCCAGCAUCAGUUCGCGCCGGGGGAUAAAGGUUUCGGGAAUGUAGCUCCCUCGGGAGUGUUAUAGCCCGUUGCGUAAUACCCUGGCGUGGACUGAGGUCCGCGCCCUGCAAGGAUGCUGGCGUAAUGGUCAUCAGUGACCCGUCUUGAAACACGGACCAAGGAG